UGAGGGCAGAAAGUGACCAAAUAGCUCGCACGAGUGCAAGUCGCAAUGCUUGUAGGGUCAUCAUACGCAUAAGAGUAAGCUUUAGGACAAGCUGCCUUAUGGAAUAAGCAGUUGGCUUGCAAGAUUGAGGACUUCCGAAGCUCCCUGUGCAGCAAUACCUCGGCGAAUUGAACGCAAAACAAGCACUCUUGCAAGCUAGCACUCUUCUAUUAUCCUUGGACCUCACCUGUAACCCAACUGGGCACAUCAGGUUCAGGUCACUAACACACCCUGCAUAGCUGCAUUUGCCUGAUCCUUUAAUUGGCGUUAUAGAGAUUGCAAGAUUGUAGCCAUCUACAAGGCUGACAUCGUAGAAAUCUUGGUCAUUUCCCAAGGUGAUUUCUGCUAAGGUGNCAUGCCAUUGCAGUAAAGGGCACCACCACAAUCUCCUGUAGCGCAGUGACCACGGCCUGAGGCGUCGAAUUUGCAACCGUGGCGACCCCAGAAGCGUCCGGACCAGAGAGGUGGGAGGUUGAGGGAAUAGGCCUUGUUGGGUAGGAGCUUGAAGCCACCGCGAGCUAAGACAGGCUUCCCUGCGCUUGGUUGAAUGCCAGGCCACACUGGGUGGCUGCACUUGUUGUAUAGUGUUAUGGUUGCUGCUGAGACCUCAACUGUAAUCUGGGAGAAAAUGAGGGUGGCGAGCAAGAUACUGAGCAGAGAUCUAAGCAUUACCGCCAUUGCUAGCUAAGGAGCUGGUAAGUGAGAGAUUAGGUAAUGCAGACCACAGAAUGGAGCUGUCCCUUCUCUCUCUCUCUCUCUCUCUCUC
rnacentral:misc_RNA from 1 species